rnacentral:RNase_P_RNA from 1 species
CCACAGAAAACAGACCGCCCUGUCAUUCGCUUGCGCGAACGCCAUGGGUAAGGGUGAAACGGUGGGGUAAGAGCCCACCGCGGGACGGGCAACCGGACCGGCACGGCAAGCCCCACCGGGAGCAAUGCCGAAUAGGGACCGCAUCAUGGGCCGGCCUUGGCCCCGCGGUCCGGGUUGGCAGCACGAGCCUGUUGGCGACAGCAGGCCCAGAUGAAUGGUCAUCCCCGGGGCAACCCGGGACAGAAUCCGGCUUACAGGCCCUCCGCGCGU